rnacentral:rRNA from 1 species
AGUGAACGCUGGCGGUAGGCCUAACACAUGCAAGUCGAACGGCAGCACAGUAAGAGCUUGCUCUUACGGGUGGCGAGUGGCGGACGGGUGAGGAAUACAUCGGAAUCUACUUUUUCGUGGGGGAUAACGUAGGGAAACUUACGCUAAUACCGCAUACGACCUACGGGUGAAAGCAGGGGAUCUUCGGACCUUGCGCGAUUGAAUGAGCCGAUGUCGGAUUAGCUAGUUGGCGGGGUAAAGGCCCACCAAGGCGACGAUCCGUAGCUGGUCUGAGAGGAUGAUCAGCCACAAUGGAAAUGAGACACGGUCCAGACUCCUACGGGAGGCAGCAGUGGGGAAUAUUGGACAAUGGGCGCAAGCCUGAUCCAGCCAUACCGCGUGGGUGAAGAAGGCCUUCGGGUUGGAAAGCCCUUUUGUUGGGAAAGAAAAGCAGCAGGUUAAUACCCCGCUGUUCUGACGGUACCCAAAGAAUAAGCACCGGCUAACUUCG